GGGGGGGGGGGGGGGGGGGGGGGGGGGGGGGGGGGGGGGGGGGGGGGGGGGGGGGGGGGGGGGGGGGGGCGGGCGGGCAGCCCGGCUCGGCCAUCGCCGCCGCCGCGGGCCGCCCUAUGCUAACGACACUGUGAUGUCAGCGCCGCCCCCGCCGCACCGGCCCGCGGGGGGGCCGGGCACCGAGCGACCGACUGACAGACAGGGCGGCUGACAGAGCGACAGAGAGCCUGAGCCACCGGUGAGACUGACCGACAGACCGACAGACCGACAGAGAGCCUGAGCCAUCGGCCGAGACCGACCGACAGACUGACCGACAGAGAGCCUGAGCCACCGGCUGAGACUGACCGACAGAGCGACCAACCGACCGACAGAGCGACAGAGGGACCGAUGGAGCAACCGACAGAGAGAGAGCCUGAACGACCGGCUGGGACUGACCGGCUGGGACCGACGGACAGACAGACAGAGAGACCACCGGCUGAGACUGACGGACAGAUUGACUGACCGACCAACAGACCGACAGACUGACAGACAGCCUGAGCGACUGGCUGAGACCAACCGACAGACCAAGCGACCGAGCCACCAACUGACCAACAGACAGUCUGAGCAACAGAGCGAAGACCGACAGACCAAUGGACAGACGGACCGACCAAGCGAACGACUGACAGACUGACAGACUGCCUGAUCACUGCCCCUGCCGUGAGCCAUCACCACCAACCACUGGCCAUUGGCCACCAGCCAUCACCACUGGCCACCACUCUGCACAGUCCUUCUGCCAGCUUCCCAGGGGAGUUGAGAGAGCUGCUCACUGCAUGUGUGAAACAGGAACCACCAACACACACAUCAACAAAAUCCAGGGAUGCCCAGGAUGAAAAUAAAAGUUGCCCAGUGCAGCUGUGGCUGCCCCAUCCUGGACACGUUCAAGUGAAAAGCAGUACAGAGACAGGCAGUAGCAGCCAACAGGCACAGCUCACAAUGCUCAGGCCAAUGCCCUUCCCAUGCCCACACCUGGCAGAGCACUGAGAACACGGGCUGGGACUCCCAGCUCCCCCAGGCACCACUGCUAGCACUGAUCAUCGUGAGCUCUUCAUCAGACACAGCCAUGUGUGUCUGCACCAGAAAAUAUUCUCAUGAAGCCUCUUCUUCCCCUUCACCCUCCCUCUGGGAUGAACUCAGCCUGGGCUACAGCGCAGCUCAUGUGUCCUUAGUGCCCAAUAAACUGUCCUGGUGCUCAGCUGUGUUUGACCAGCCCAAAACAAUCCUCACCACACCACAGCAUUGAAGGGAAGGCUCAAGAGCAUUUCUGCUGAUGCCCAAUCCAGCCUGUCCUCCAGAUGUCUCAAGACAUCUGGCUCUGCUCAAAAGCCACAGUUUGCUUCUGUUCCUCAUCCCGAGGAGUGCAGCACCCAACUGCGCUCUGAGAAACGGCUGUCUUAGAAUAAACAAGGCACAGAGGCAACAAAAGAGGUCAUAUUUCACUCCAUCCCAAGCCUGAAAUUUUAUUGCUUUCUGGUGACAUCCAGCAAUGCAAGUAACCUUGUGAGCAUGCAGGGCAGAGCUCAGUGUUGUCCUCCUGGCAGCCUGGGCCCCUGCUCCAGCUGACCCUGACUGGGAGGGGAUCUGGCCACCAACCCCAGCCCCAACUCCAACCCUUCCAUGAUUCUCUCUUCUCAUAACUCUGUUUUUAACCCAGCAUUUCUACACAGCAGGUGCACUUGCAGGGGCAAACUCUCGCAAGCCCACCCUGCAGUGCUCUGCUGAUGCUGUAAAUAAAUCUGUGCAGUUCCCUGUCAGCCCAGCAGACCCUCGUGGGUCUGACCUCCCCUUUUCCAGCAGAGCCAGGCGGGGUGAGGAGCCGGUGCCCUCGCAGCGCACGGCCAAGGUAAGCCAGGCCUGGCUGCACUAUUGACACAGCUGUUUGCAAUUGUGCUGCUCCCAGAGCUCCACAUUCUUCAUCCCAUGCGAGCCCUCCGCUGGCUCCCAGCACCCCUCGGAGAAGUGUGACCAGAAUGCAGAGUGCUUAUUUUGUAAAGCCUCAGUGUGCUGUGGACACAGCAGGCUGAAAUGAAGCAACCUAAUCUCGAGAUAACACAAAGUUGCUCCAACAACUGCUGGUCAGACCCAAAACACAGACACACCAAAAAAAACCCCAAAACAAACCCCCCUCCUAAUUCUGAAACUGCAAUUAUAGACAAAACCUGGCUGGGGAAAAUUAUAUUUGCCCAAACAACCCAAAUCUUCCAAAUUUUUCAAAACGCACAUUAAAUACACUUGUCAGUUUAUCCACAAUAAAUCCUUAAGGGCGAAAAAUAAUUGUAGAGAUCUGAAACUAUUCUGUAAAAUCACAGGCCAACUGGGAAUGGGCAGAGGGCAGGCAAGGAGGUGGAAAAAUGAGUUCUGUUGUCCAACCCAAACAGUCACGCAGCAAGUCUGGGCAAAAGAAAAAUAAAGUAGCUGGUUCUUAUUUUAGCCUGUAUCAGCCAAUUCCUACUGAUGCUACUGUAACCAACAUCUAAGAUUUUAUAAAAACACCAGCUCAUAACAGUAAAAGCCAAAAGCAUUGCCAAAAAGAGGGCAAGUGGCACUGGUGCCUGCCUGCAAGGGAUUUAUUGUCCUGAUGUUAAAGCCAUAAGGGACAGGCACAGGAAGCAAGAGGAGGGACUGCCCCUCUCCCCGG
rnacentral:lncRNA from 1 species